GACGAACGCUGGCGGCGUGCUUAACACAUGCAAGUCGAACGCUGAAGCCUAGCUUGCUGGGUGGAUGAGUGGCGAACGGGUGAGUAACACGUGAGUAACCUGCCCUCUUCUUUGGGAUAACGCCCGGAAACGGGUGCUAAUACUGGAUAUUCACUGAUCUUCGCAUGGGGGUUGGUGGAAAGGUUUUUUCUGGUGGGGGAUGGGCUCGCGGCCUAUCAGCUUGUUGGUGGGGUGAUGGCCUACCAAGGCUUUGACGGGUAGCCGGCCUGAGAGGGUGACCGGUCACAUUGGGACUGAGAUACGGCCCAGACUCCUACGGGAGGCAGCAGUGGGGAAUAUUGCACAAUGGGCGAAAGCCUGAUGCAGCGACGCCGCGUGAGGGAUGGAGGCCUUCGGGUUGUAAACCUCUUUCGCUCAUGGUCAAGCCGCAACACUUGGUUGUGGUGAGGGUAGUGGGUAAAGAAGCGCCGGCUAACUACGUGCCAGCAGCCGCGGUAAUACGUAGGGCGCGAGCGUUGUCCGGAAUUAUUGGGCGUAAAGGGCUUGUAGGCGGUUGGUCGCGUCUGCCGUGAAAUCCUCUGGCUUAACUGGGGGCGUGCGGUGGGUACGGGCUGACUUGAGUGCGGUAGGGGAGACUGGAACUCCUGGUGUAGCGGUGGAAUGCGCAGAUAUCAGGAAGAACACCGGUGGCGAAGGCGGGUCUCUGGGCCGUUACUGACGCUGAGGAGCGAAAGCGUGGGGAGCGAACAGG
rnacentral:rRNA from 1 species